GACGGAGGAUGCAAGCGUUAUCCGGAAUGAUUGGGCGUAAAGCGUCCGCAGGUGGCAGUUCAAGUCUGCUGUCAAAGACCGGGGCUUAACUUCGGAAAGGCAGUGGAAACCGAACAGCUAGAGUAUGGUAGGGGCAGAGGGAAUUCCUGGUGUAGCGGUGAAAUGCAUAGAUAUCGAGAGGAACACCUGCGGCGAAGGCGGGUUGCUGGGCUGACACUGACGCUGAUGCGCGAAAGCUAGGGGAGCGAACGGG
rnacentral:rRNA from 1 species